AAAAAAGUUUGCUCCAUUUCUAGGAGUAAGUAUAACUUUCUUCAUAUAGCUAGAGCUUUAAUUAUCUAAUUAUGACAAUGUAUGGUCAUUCAUCCUGCAAUUUGGUUAAAAAACAUAUGGAUCUAUUAAUCAAAAAAGUUUUCGAUGACAAUUCCUUUCUUGGGUGAGCCCAUGAGGGCUUCUAUAUUUUAUCAAAUUGGGUUUGAUGGACUUCACAUUUAUUGAGCUUGAUGAGCUCCAUCUUUUAUAUUUUUUUUUUUUCUAUUUUGGCCACUGAUGUGGGAUGCCCAACUCCAACAUAGAAGAAUAAACUUGCAAAGAAGAAGGGACAGGAAGUAGUAUAUUGUUAUUUAGUCUUAUCUGUAUAGAACUAGAGUUCGGAUCCUUUUUAAGGCUUAUAAAUAACAGACUACCAGUUCAUUGAGAUUACAACUCCUGCCUAGAAUAAAUCUUCUGCGGGAAUAUAUCAUCCUUGUAUGAAGCAAAGGGCCUUGUCUGAUAGGCAUACAUCAAAUUCUUUUUUCUGGUACAACACAAACUAAACCAAUUAGAAGCAACAUCUUUUCAAGCCUGUAGCUUAGGACAAACAUUGGAGUUGGGAUUCGCAAUGGAGCAAAUAUCUGCAAAACAGGGCUGUUUGGAUGCUGGAUCCUCUUCAAAUGGAGGUGGAGCUUGUCCAUACACCAUUUCGCAGCUCAUAUCUUCAAAAUCUGAUAUUAAACCACACACAUAUCCAUACAAAUUGCUAUAAAUCCAAAUAUGGCAUUAACUUUGAAUGCACUGUUUUAUGGACCAAUGUACUUACUAGGAGUCAUGGUUAAUGGAAGUCCAAAUUCAUUGGUAAAGAAAUCUUGAGUAGGAAUUUUGCACAUAUUGACACACAGCCCUACACACCCGCUAUUCUCAAGGUACCUUGAUGAGAAACAAUUUGUCAAAAGUGCUGUUACUGUAUAAAAUUUACCAUAAAUGAUAAACAGAAGUAUUAUUUAAUUCCUUGCCUCUCAUGAAAUGUGCCUUUUUUGUUUUUUCUCUUUGCUAUGGCAGAUUGUUCUUACCCAAGGGAUACUGAAAAUGAGAGAGAGUUUCUACCUGCACUUCUUUAUAUGAACUCCACUUCUUUGCUUCACCCCGUUCACCUCUACUUCCACAACCUAAUUAAAUUAUAACAUAUAAAAUGCAGGAAACUUGUUAAGAGUUAGUACUAACAUAUCUAGCUUUGUUGCUAAACAACUUGAAGCAAGAUACAUAAGGCUCCUAUUCAUAGAAGGACCUAGUAUUGUCAGUUUUACCUCAGAAGGACCAACCAACCAUUGAAAGAAAGGCACUGUUAAUGCAGCGUUGAAUUCUUCAGCCCACCUUGUUGGUGGGAACAAUUUCCUGAACUGCAGCAACAACAUAUAGGAAAAUGAAGCAAUUUAUAUAAUUUGUGCCAAAUGUGAGACUGAUCAAAUCACUCAUAGGCCCAAUCAUUUCAUUAAUAAGGCCGUAUUAGCACCAACAGAAUGUCCAGUAAUAAUCAACUGUAAAUUCAGAAGCAAGAAAAUGAACAGUAAACAUAAAAUUUCAUAUCAGAAAGCUCAGAAUAGAAUUUCUCUCUCUUAACCAUUUCAUUGAUCCAUUCCUUCUUAUAAAGAAGAAAGAAAUGCAGUGCUGGUGUAAGAUCAAUACCUAGCCUUAGUACAAGUAAACUUUAGCUGGACAAAUUUUCCUUAAAACAUAGAACAUCUUUACUUUUUACCUAACAAAUACUAGCUAAAGUAGAAAUAUUAAAGUAUGUUCAAGAGACACAAAGAAAACAGUGGCUCCAGCUUAACACGUCUCCAAGGAAAAUCUCAUUCCCCUAACAUCAACAAACUAAUAAUAUUGUAUGACUAUCAGCUUUCUUGAACCUAAUUAUUGAUCCACACUAUCAUUUCUUAACCAUUCAAAUAAAAUAAAUAAAUAAAGAACAGAACCAAGUGAUCAAGAGUUGAGAAAGUUCCACCUGCUCAGGGGCACCUGGAGGGAGCAUGGACAAGAGGACCUCGCGAACUACUUGCUGCUGCUGUAAGCGAUUCCUUCCCUGCAUUACCCGCCUGGAAACAUCGACAAAACUGUCGUAGUCAUAAUCGAACCAACCCUUCUCCUUACCCUCAAUCCCAUCCUUGGCUGGAGCCGCGAACUUCUCCAUCUUCCUAGCAAAGAGGGUCAUGAAUGCCUUCUCAAAGAAGCCAUCAUUGUAUUUCGUUUUCUGUCCCAAAGGAGCUGGCUCUCCCGUGGGCUCUGCAAUCCUACAUCUAAUAAAAUUUCUGGGUCUCCAUCUCUGUAAAGAAGGAUUUUGUUGAACUGGUCUAAACUGGACAGAUUGGAGGCUUAGAGCCACCAUGUAUUAUGCUGUAUCGAGCUUCAAUAUUAAGAAUUUCACUAUUGUUCGGCUUCUGUAAUUCGGUUUUUCACCUCGCAUAUGUUCAUGUUGUUUUGUGGGGAUUCCAGAAGCAGAACAAAGAACCUGUGAAGGAUAAAAGAAGAUAUGGUUGGAGAAAUUUGAAAAUUAUGGCCAUACAUUACAUUUCUGGAAGGAUAUUCAUAUUUAUAUUUGUAUCUGCUUUCCUAAUCCAAUGAAAUACAUACAAGGUUAAUAGGGA
rnacentral:misc_RNA from 1 species